rnacentral:rRNA from 1 species
UACGUAGGGCGCAAGCGUUGUCCGGAAUUAUUGGGCGUAAAGAGCUCGUAGGCGGCUUGUCACGUCGGAUGUGAAAGCCCUGGGCUCAACCUGGGAACUGCAGUGGAUACUGGCGGACUAGAGUGUGAUAGAGGAUGGUGGAAUUCCCGGUGUAGCGGUGAAAUGCGUAGAGAUCGGGAGGAACACCAGUGGCGAAGGCGGCGUGCUGGCCCUCUUCUGACGCUGAGGCGCGAAAGCCAGGGGAGGCGAACGGG